CCUGCAGUUUCAUAGAGAGAGACAAUGGAAUAGAGAAGCUCUGGUGUUACUAAGCAGGAAAUGAACGCCUAGAGUUGUCUGCAUCCACACCUCUUUUACCAUUUUCUCAUUCAACCUGGCCAUGAGGAAGAAGCCAAUCUAUAGAAAAGGAAGAGGACAACAGGUAGAACCUGAGCUUGGAGAUAGAGGGAGAUGGCAAAAUGUAAUCACAUUAUCUAAGUCACUGGGCUUCCUGGGCCAGCUUACUACUGGAUUUCUCUGCUGUUUGAACCCAUUGUUCCAGUUUGGCUUAACUCAGCAAUAACUUAGAUGACACACUUUGAAGUAGGAAGCAUUCGAGUUCUUGAAAGAAAAGACAAGAGACCAUGUUGACUUUUCACUGUGAACCAAAAACGCACGUUCUCCAACCAAUGUCAUAUAUGAAAGGGUCACUUGGACACAGAUGUGACUAUGAUCUGAGGUGUCAGUAACUAACUGAAUUGCAUCAGGCAGCAGGAAUAUCCACAAUGUGCGCCUACACAAGACUGAACGACACCACUGUGGCAGCAUCUUUAGGCUCCUGACUCACCAGAUUCUUAUGCCCCGUCUUGGCAAAAACUUGGUGAACUCAUUACCCGCAGACCUGUUCUGUGGAAAAAAUGUUAAAGGAAGUUCUUCAAACAGAAUGUAAUACCAAAUUAAAGAAACUUGGACCUACAUGAAGAAAUGAAGAGUACUGGAAAUGGCAUUAAUGAAGAUGAUGCGCCACAUUGUUCUGAGGCGAAGGUUAUCUUCCCUGCCUGGGACUCCAUCCAGAAACAAAUAAAAGACCAAGGAACCUGAUUAUUUCAUGGUCCGUUUAUAGAAGUUGUUGUGGAUCAGUUUUCCGUCUGUCAGCUACUUUUUCUUUACAGUCCUUCUGUGAACUCACUGCAGGGAUAUAUCCUUCUAGCUCAAGACUUUCAAUAACCUUUAAAACUUUAUUGUUGAAGAGGCACUUGUCUAGGAUGAAGAUGUUCUGUGGGCUUCUUUUUAUAUCAGUGCCAGGUCUAAGGUCAUUAGUGAAACAGUCAAGGAUUUAUUGAGCAGCUACUAUUUGUCAGGUUAUGGCACUGGAUGCUGACAUGUUCUGUUCUCAUUGACUGUACCAUCACGGGGGAAGAUGAUCAAGAACUCUUUACAAAUAAUCAUACCAUCAUUGCUAGUGGAUAAGUGUUACUUCUUGGUGAGCAAGGAAUUCAACUUGUUGCGCAGAGCCUGACAAAGGCUCACAAACCUACACAGUCAUGAUACCUAUGCAGGGUCUCCUACUCCUUUUUCUCAAACGGGCCUGACAGGGGAGGCUGAAGACCAUUUCUUCCUGAGGAGGAGGCAGGGAGAAGAAAUGGCAGCCAUGGCUCCCUAGACUCAAGGAAGAGACGAGGACCAUAGAAUAUCAUAUCACCAAUCAACAAUGAUGGCACCACUCAUGGAAAUUUCACUGUAACAGCUGGUUUGAGUUUGUAGCUGUCAGACUCACGAUGGCUGAGGCUUUCCAGAACUCCAUGCUUCUCCAGAAACUAUCCCUCAGGCAAGUCUUAGGUCCACUUAAACCAAACUUUGGCAAGAGGGAGAAAUCUCACGUUUCCUCAAAGAGAAAAUAAAAUGGCAAGACAUGGGAAUAAAGUCUCCAGCAGCUGGAGCUAGAAAUUGUUCAUAAUUAUGGCGAGAGAUUUGGUGUCAGGAUAAAUCCUAAGCCUGGUUUCCCAAUAUUUGAGGAUGGCAGGAUGUAUCACAGGGUCUUGUAAGAUUCUAUCAGGAGAAAAUAAACAUGUUGCUUUCACUUAUGAAACAAGUAUAUUUUAUAUGUCACUUUAAUAAACCAGAGAAUGAAGUCAUAAAAUCAAUAGUGAUCGGUUACAGAAACACGAGCUGCAUAGUGCUGGUUAGGUGUUUAACAAAAAGAUCAUGUAGACCCAGGCUCAAAGAUCCCCCAGUCAUUGUUUAAGAUGGGUUUCCAUGUUGAGGGCUAAAUAACCAGGAAACAGCAAAUGUAGUGCUCAUUUCAUGUUGAGAUUGCAGCCAAAUGCCAUCGUUACUGUUCUUGGGCCUGACAUACCCAUUAAGGAGAGGUUGUUUAGACCCCAAAUGGUAUGCUAAAUAAAUAAAGCUUAUUGGUGGUGAGGAUGCAGUUUUGAUUGCUCUGAAAAUUAGACAUUUUCACUGAGAAAAUGCUUUUUGUAAUGUGAUACACUCAAUAAUUUUGAUCUAAGAAUCAUUUCAGGAUGGUUGCCUGCUGCUGAGUACACCAAAUAUGCUGACGUUGGUUUGGGUUUUGGUUUUCUAGGAAGUUGUUUUGGCAUCAGGUAGACAUUGGCUAAAACUGUCAACUGGGCAAUAUUCAACAGCAUGGUCAUGUUUAAGAGCUUGGGCUUUGCAGGCUAAUAGAUUUGGGUUUAAAACCCCAGACUCUACUCAUGAGCUAGGGGUCUUCUGGGAAGUUACUAUAAAAGCAACAAUAACAACAUUGUAUUAUGAACAAUUUUAAACAUAGACAAAAUUAGAGAAAAUAACUCAGUGAUCCCCUGUGUACCCAUCACUAGCUUCAAAAAUUGUCAAUAUUUGGAGCAAGUUAUCUAACCAUGUUCUCAUCAGUAAAAUGGAAUUCAUAAUAAUUCUCACAUUCAAGAGUUCAUGUAGUGAUUAUAAAAGCAAUAGUAUAUAUAUAUGACCUUUAAGCACAGAGGCUGGAAUAUAAUAAGUGCUCUCAAAAGUUUAUUCCAUUUUGAACUAGGAAUACCUUUGGUUUAAAGACACAGCAACCUAUGCUGAAUGAAAAGUAGGAUCUUUGUGGUUUUACUGGCCUUUAGAAUUUCACAAAGAAUAUAGCCCCUUAGCAUAAAAUGAUCAGAUCUUAUAUUUAAAAAAUAACCCCCUACAUAGUACAGGGAUCUGAUGCUGAGCUAGCCAAGGCUGUGUCUCAGCAAAAAUUCCAAAUGACCCAUGAAAGGCAAAAAUUUCCUUGAAGAAGAUGAUACUGUUCUCGAAAAAAAAAAAAAAAAUCAUUGCAAUAAAACAAAAAGUUUGUGGCUAGAAAAUCUUACCCCAAUGAAGGAAUACCCUUUCUGCUCAGGUCUGCAGGCUACCAGUGCUAUAGAUGACCUCAGAGUGAAUAGCAGUUCUGCCAUCUGCCAUUCCCUUUUGGCUGUUCUCAGAGGCCUUUAUGGCAGUGAGGGAGAGCAUUCUUUUGGUGCGAGAAAUAGUUACUGCUCUUGGGUUAGACUGAGAAAGUUUUGCUGAGCUUCAGGAUCCAGAGUGAGUAAUUUACAGAAAGCGCUCAAGGGUCUAUUAGACGGGGUUCCCCUGCCAGGAGAGGUGUUGGGGAAGACUAGUUUUCUAGGACGAAAACUGAGCUGCUUUGCCAAGCACACCAAAAAAGGUGGUGCUGGGGGGGAGAAAUGUAGUUUUAACCUUGAUUUGUAGCAAUUAUUAUGACCUUCAAAGAGUCAUUUGUUAGGGCAAAUAAGGAUAUAGAAUUUUAAAAAUCCACAAAUUGGGUUACUUAUUUUGGGGCCAAAGCAAGUUAAUUUUAAAAUGGGAUCAGCACCAUAGAAUAAAUACUUUUAGGUCUUAUCCUGCCAUUUAUACUGGUGUGACCUUAAUCUAUCCUAUCUUCAGUUUCCUUGUCUCAAAAAUUGAGAUUAUAAUAGUCUCCCUACGCUGAGGUUUUUGCCAGGGAGAAAGAGAUAACAUAGGUAAAUACAUGUGCAUUGCUUUUAAAUACUAGGUAAAGACUCAUAUCAUCAUCAUCACAAUCAUCAUCAUGGUCAUCAUUAGUAUUACUAUUUUGGUGAGUUGAUCAAUGAUGCUACUGGAUGGAGAACUUUUUCUGAAUGGCAUUUCUCUUGCUGUUGGCUUGGAUAUAGGCAGGUAAACUCAAUGUGGAAAUUUUUAUGCAGUAAUUAUUUGUUUUUCUUCUACCAAAUUGCAGAGAAUCCAUACAUGUAAGUACUGUCUGCUAACUGAUUCCACCACUGGAGCUCCAUGGAAUCCAUACAAAGCACACCUCUUCUCUUCUCCUUGGCAUCCAAUUUGGUGGCUCUACAUCUGCUUUCAACAAUGAGUCAAGGCUGUAUCUGACAAGAUGGAAGUUCAAAAUCAACAACAAAAUCUAUUUAUUUUGGUUUUGAUCCUAGCCCUGGGCCUUUUACUAAGUAUUCAGAACUGAUUUAAUGAAUGAAAAAAUGAAUGAAUGGUAUACAUUUCCAUUGUCUAUUCUGCUUCUUUUGCCUAGGGAAUUGGGUUAGGCCAUGAUUUCCUUGUUGUUUUUUUCAUGUUUGUUUUAUCUGCACAACCCUAAAUUAAACCGACUAGUUCCAUUCA